rnacentral:rRNA from 1 species
CGGCCGCGGUAUCCUGACCGUGCAAAGGUAGCAUAAUCAUUUGUUCCUUAAUUAGGGACUUGUAUGAAUGGCCCCACGAGGGUUUGACUGUCUCUUACUUUUAAUCAGUGAAAUUGACCUUCCCGUGAAGAGGCGGGAAUACAAAAAUAAGACGAGAAGACCCUAUGGAGCUUAAAUUAACAUGUCCUGGACAAUAAAUUUUGGUUGGGGUGACCUCGGAGUAUAAUAAAACCCCCGAACCAAGACUAACCCGUCAAGGUCAAUCGUAUUGAUCAACGAAACAAGUUACCCUAGGGAUAACAGCGCAAUCCUAUUUGAGAGUUCAUAUCGACAAUAGGGUUUACGACCUCGAUGUUGGAUCAGGACACCCCAAUGGUGUAGCAGCU